CACACCCCCACACACGCACACCCCCACACACGUACACAACACACCGCCAUGUCGGCCUCAGCACUCUGACGCCGCUCCGCUGCAAAGGGACGGGCAGGAGACCGGCGAAGUCGACACGGGAGCGGCAGCGGAAGACGGCGAUGAUGGAGGGCACGUGUGAAGGAGGUGUCAGCGUCACGAGGGCGGGCCUCGCCGCCGUCACGCCGCAUUGCCUGGGCUCGUGGCUGCGCAGCAGCAGGCGACUCUGCGAGCUCUGCAUUGGUCAGACCCACGACAGCAAGGGUCUGGCAGAGGUUACGUUUGUCUCCUGCACCAGGAACGGCUGGGAUGAAGUCGACAAGGCCGCCUGGGAGG